rnacentral:rRNA from 1 species
CUGGUUGAUCCUGCCAGUAGUCAUAUGCUUGUCUCAAAGAUUAAGCCAUGCAUGUCUAAGUAUAAGCCCUUGUACGGCGAAACUGCGAAUGGCUCAUUAAAACAGUUAUCGUUUAUUUGAUAAUCACUUACUACAUGGAUAACUGUAGUAAUUCUAGAGCUAAUACAUGCGUCAAUGCCCGACUUUUGGGAAGGGUUGCAUUUAUUAGAUUCAAAGCCAACCCGAGGUUCGCUUCGGAACUGUUGGUGAUUCAUAAUAACUAAGCGAAUCGCAUAGGCUUGCCUGGCGAUGGAUCUUUCAAGUUUCUGACCUAUCAGCUAUCGACGGUAGGGUAUUGGCCUACCGUGGCUUUGACGGGUAACGGAGAAUUAGGGUUCGAUUCCGGAGAGGGAGCCUGAGAAACGGCUACCACAUCUAAGGAUGGCAGCAGGCGCGCAAAUUACCCAAUCCUGACACAGGGAGGUAGUGACAAGAAAUAACAAUGCAGGGCUCCACAGUCUUGCAAUUGGAAUGAGUAGAUUUUAAAUCUCUCUACGAGUAACAAUUGGAGGGCAAGUCUGGU